CACCCCAUCACCGAAUGGUUCCGAAACUGCCCAUCGGCCGGACUCUCCCACUGGCCGGUGUAACCCUGACUCUAUGCCGGGUCUGAGGAUGCCCUCCGUCGUCACCCCUUAUAACGUGUUACCCGCCUUCGGACUACGUCGUUGCGGCGCACGCCCUACUGCCGGAAGCCCAACAUUUGGCGAAAGCGGACACUGCUUCGCACUCACUGCCAUUACCCAUUUCUUCGUGGCCGAUUGAUGCACGGUCGUCGGCGCCACUAUGCAUCCCACGCUCGCAACAGGCCUAAAUAACCCGCAUUUCCCGAGCAUCCACCGACUAGCGCAGCCUUCACAUUAGAACCCCGAAUUGGGACUCGCACGAAAGCUAUGCCCAACUGAACUCCUUCCAUCCCCUCUUACCUUAAGGACCACCUCGCCACCUUACGCGUCUAUAGUCCUCCUUGUGGUCACCGCUUCCGCCAAGAGACCCGGAAAGGACUGCGACUCCUCGCUUUCGCACCCCUCGCUUGUCCGAAUCUAUGGGACCAUCAGGUGCGACAUUUGCCACCCAUGAUCCACACCCCAGGUAAGGUGCCCAAGGCACGGCAUCGAUUGCGAAAUUC
rnacentral:rRNA from 1 species